GAUGAACGCUGGCGGCGUGCCUAACACAUGCAAGUCGAACGAAGCACCUUACCUGAUUCUUCGGAUGAAAGUUUGGUGCCUGAGUGGCGGACGGGUGAGUAACGCGUGGGUAACCUGCCCUGUACAGGGGGAUAACAGCUGGAAACGGCUGCUAAUACCGCAUACGCGCACGAGGAGACAUCUCCUUGUGUGAAAAACUCCGGUGGUACAGGAUGGGCCCGCGUCUGAUUAGCUGGUUGGCAGGGUAACGGCCUACCAAGGCAACGAUCAGUAGCCGGGCGGGGAGGCUGAAACGUCACAUUGGAACUGAGGCACGGACCAAAAUCCUACGGGAGGGAGGAGUGGGGAAUAUUGCACAAUGGGGGAAGCCCUGAUGCAGCAACGCCGGGUAAGUGAAGAAGUAUUUCGGUAUGUAAAGCUCUAUCAGCAGGGAAGAUAAUGACGGUACCUGACUAAGAAGCACCGGCUAAAUACGUG
rnacentral:rRNA from 1 species